rnacentral:ribozyme from 1 species
GGAGGAGGAGGCGGGGGCAGCAACUCCUCGUCCUCCAUGUACAAGAG